GCGCCGUCCCCUGCUCUUUACUUGAUGAAGAAGACUCGGCCGCCCCUGGUGAUCCCAAGAGAGACUGAGCUGGAGCACAGCUCUAGCCUUGUUGUCCACUCGCGGCCUGUCCUGCUACAACCGUGUGAGGAUCUGAACCUAGGAAACAACACUGUUUAGAGUCGUGUGUGUUACUCUAUUUCCAGCCUCCUGCUUGGAAUGUGGAUGAAGUGGCUGUAGGUCUUUGUUGGAUGAAGAAGGCAAAGGCCACCCAAGGGAUGGCAAAGUGGACAUCUGGAUGUAGCCUAAGUCCCUAAGAGUUACAGGCAGUGGAGCCAACAUAACUGCUCUGAACUUACAAGUGGAGGAGAAAUCAAAUUCUGUCUUGAUUAAGCUAAUGCUAUCUUGUGGGGGAGGGGAGCUUCUGUUACUCUCAGAUAAACCUAAUUUUAUCUAAUGUAUCACAUCUAUCUUAUUUAACAGCACUUAGUACAUGUUGGGUGCUCAAUAAUUUCUUAAAUGAAUGAAUUAAUGUAUGAAUCUCCAAACACAUCAAAAUUUCAUACAUAAAAUUUGCCUCAUGCCUCAGUAACUCCUGAUUAUUCUUUUGGAUGAGACAGCUUUUCUCUCACUUACCUUAUUAUUUACUGAGAAUAAGGUAGACCCUUAUAGAUCUUUAACUCAUUCUGAUAAUUAGACUAUUAAUAUCUUUAAAAUUA